rnacentral:misc_RNA from 1 species
UUUAUUCAAUUCAAUUUGCAAGUUUACAACAAAUGUACAAUUUUACAAUGUGUUCAUCAUUUUCUAUAUAACAAUUUGUAUAAUCGUGUAAUUUUAUGUUAAUUUGAUUUUGUUGCUCGAUCGAUGGAGUUAAAAUAAUUUUUCUUGCGCGAAUGAAGAUCGAAAAUUUAUAAAUAAACUACGAAUAUUUAUGCAAAUUCAUAUUUUCAUAAACACAAUGAAUGCUAUAUUUUAAAUAUUUCACAUAUUUUUGUGUAUUAUGUACAUUCUAUGUAUUUUACCACCCUUAAACUCAUAAAUGUAUAAAGAUUCGCAGUCCAGUUAUAAAUUCUCAUGGUACAGCGUCGUUCUGCCGCUUGUUUUCGAAUCGCUACUAAGCGCAUGCGUCCGGCCAACUCCGUACACCAAUAUUCGACGACGUUCUGAUUGACAGCCGUUAAUUACUUAUUACUCCAUGACAAAUUGUCAGGCUAGCUAAGGCUACCAGCCACAGCUAACACUCAACUGAUAGAUUGAUAUAAAGAAAGGGAAAGAAAAGAUUCAUUCAAGUAUAAUGUUGCAACCAUAAAGCUCAUGUACGCAAAUUCCUUACUACUAUAUAAAAGACCGCAUUAAUACUAUUUAAAACUGAUGCAUCGAUCGCAGUGUGCUCUGGAGUUAUUGGGUAUACGAAAUGAUCACACAAUAUGUCCAACAUACAUAGAAUAACAAACAUGAAU